rnacentral:rRNA from 1 species
GACGAACGCUGGCGGCGUGCUUAACACAUGCAAGUCGAACGGAGAGGCCCCCACCUUGGUGGGGGUGCUCGAGUGGCGAACGGGUGAGUAACACGUGGGUGAUCUGCCCUGUACUUCGGGAUAAGCUUGGGAAACUGGGUCUAAUACCGGAUAGGACCAUGGUUUAGUGUCUCAUGGUGGAAAAAUUAUUGUUUUGGUGCAGGAUGAGCUCGCGGCCUAUCAGCUUGUUGGUGGGGUAAUGGCCUACCAAGGCGUCGACGGGUAGCCGGCCUGAGAGGGUGGACGGCCACAUUGGGACUGAGAUACGGCCCAGACUCCUACGGGAGGCAGCAGUGGGGAAUAUUGCACAAUGGGCGCAAGCCUGAUGCAGCGACGCCGCGUGGGGGAUGACGGCCUUCGGGUUGUAAACUCCUUUCGUUAGGGACGAAGCCACACCUUUUUUGGGUGUGGUGACGGUACCUUUGUUAAGAAGCACCGGCUAACUACGUG